rnacentral:rRNA from 1 species
CGGAGGGUGCAAGCGUUAUCCGGAUUCACUGGGUUUAAAGGGUGCGUAGGCGGGCAGUUAAGUCCGUGGUGAAAUCUCUGAGCUUAACUCAGAAACUGCCAUGGAUACUAUCUGUCUUGAAUAUUGUGGAGGUAAGCGGAAUAUGUCAUGUAGCGGUGAAAUGCUUAGAUAUGACAUAGAACACCAAUUGCGAAGGCAGCUUGCUACACAGUUAUUGACGCUGAGGCACGAAAGCGUGGGGAUCAAACAGGAUUAGAUACCCUGGUAGUCCACGCCCUAAACGAUGAUUACUCGACAUCAGCGAUACACUGUUGGUGUCUGAGCGAAAGCAUUAAGUAAUCCACCUGGGAAGUACGACCGCAAGGUUG